AGCCUGAUUGGGAUUCUCUCUCUCUCUCUCUCUCUCUCUCUCUCUCUCUCUUUCUUUCUCUCUCAAAAUAAAUAAACUUAAAAAAAAAAAAAGAGUACAAUUAGGGAGACCAACUAAGAGGCUGUUGGAGUAAUCCAGGCUUGGACUUUGAUAUUGGAAUAGUGGAAGUGGUAAAAACCAUUCUGAUUCUGGGGCCAUUUUGAAGAUGGAGUCAACAGGUUGUCCUGAUUGAUUAGAUGCAGUGUGUGACAAAGAGAAGAAUCAAAAAUGAUUCAAUGAUUUUGGGAUUGAGAAGCUUGAAAUAUAAAAUUGGCUUCAACUGUGAUGAAGAGGCUGCUGAAAGUCAACAAUGGCGUAUCCUGGCAGAGUCUAGGAAUGCUCUAGGUCACAUUCCCCUAAAAAGAGAAGAGGCUAAUGGACAAAGACUGUGUCCAAAAUUAUAAUGAACUGACAAAGAGAUAUUUUCAUAACAGGAAACUUUGGGUGUUUGGGGAAAAAAAUGGAUGUGAAAAUGUGGAAUUUGUCAAUUAACUCUGCAAAGAUGAGACACAAAACAGCCUUAACGCUGAUGGAUGGGUAGACUCUCCCAAGGAAUAAAGUAAAACUUCUAUCUUC